GAGCGGUAAGGCCCUUCGGGGUACACGAGCGGCGAACGGGUGAGUAACACGUGAGCAACCUGCCCCCGACUCCGGGAUAAGCGGUGGAAACGCCGUCUAAUACCGGAUACGACCGGCCACCUCAUGGUGGCGGGUGGAAAGUUUUUCGGUUGGGGAUGGGCUCGCGGCCUAUCAGCUUGUUGGUGGGGUAAAGGCCUACCAAGGCGAUUACGGGUAGCCGGCCUGAGAGGGCGACCGGCCACACUGGGACUGAGACACGGCCCAGACUCCUGCGGGAGGCAGCAGUGGGGAAUAUUGCGCAAUGGGCGAAAGCCUGACGCAGCGACGCCGCGUGGGGGAUGACGGCCUUCGGGUUGUAAACCUCUUUUACCACCAACGCAGGCUCCCAGUUCUCUGGGGGUUGACGGUAGGUGGGGAAUAAGGACCGGCUAACUACGUGCCAGCAGCCGCGGUAAUACGUAGGGUCCGAGCGUUGUCCGGAAUUAUUGGGCGUAAAGAGCUCGUAGGCGGCGUGUCGCGUCUGCUGUGAAAGACCGGGGCUUAACUCCGGUUCUGCAGUGGAUACGGGCAUGCUAGAGGUAGGUAGGGGAGACUGGAAUUCCUGGUGUAGCGGUGAAAUGCGCAGAUAUCAGGAGGAACACCGGUGGCGAAGGCGGGUCUCUGGGCCUUACCUGACGCUGAGGAGCGAAAGCAUGGGGAGCGAACAGG
rnacentral:rRNA from 1 species